AAGCAACGCGAAGAACCUUACCAGGUCUUGACAUCCUCUGACAAUCCUAGAGAUAGGACUUUCCCCUUCGGGGGACAGAGUGACAGGUGGUGCAUGGUUGUCGUCAGCUCGUGUCGUGAGAUGUUGGGUUAAGUCCCGCAACGAGCGCAACCCUUGUCCUUAGUUGCCAGCAUUUAGUUGGGCACUCUAAGGAGACUGCCGGUGAUAAACCGGAGGAAGGUGGGGAUGACGUCAAAUCAUCAUGCCCCUUAUGAUCUGGGCUACACACGUGCUACAAUGGAUGGUACAAAGGGUUGCGAGACCGCGAGGUUUAGCCAAUCCCAUAAAACCAUUCUCAGUUCGGAUUGUAGGCUGCAACUCGCCUACACGAAGCCGGAAUCGCUAGUAAUCGUGGAUCAGCAUGCCACGGUGAAUACGUUCCCGGGUCUUGUACACACCGCCCGUCACACCACGAGAGUUUGUAACACCCGAAGUCGGUGGGGUAACCGCAAGGAGCCAGCCGCCUAAGGUGGGA
rnacentral:rRNA from 1 species